rnacentral:rRNA from 1 species
UACGUAGGGUGCGAGCGUUAAUCGGAAUUACUGGGCGUAAAGCGUGCGCAGGCGGUUCGUUAAGUCAGAUGUGAAAGCCCCGGGCUCAACCUGGGAAGUGCACUCGAAACUGCAAAGCUUGAGUAUCGGAGAGGUUGGUAGAAUUCUCGGUGGAGAGGUGAAAUUCGUAGAUAUCGAGGGGAAUACCAGUGGCGAAGGCGGCCAACUGGACGAAUACUGACGCUGAGACACGAAAGCGUGGGGAGCAAACAGG